AAAACACUUAUGGGACAGACUGUCCCUUCUGCUGCAACAGCCUCUACGAAAAAUAGUAACACUAUUAAUAAUAAUUAAUAAACCCCUAAACCUUAGAAUAGGCUGAGAAGUUUGUCUAAUAUGCUUCAUAGAAGAGUUUUCUCUGAAAAAAAAAUAGUGUUGAAAGCUGGCAGGCUGAUGGAAUACUCCAGUCAGCGAUAAUGGGAUAGGAUUCCUUUUCUUCAUUAUUUCUUUUGGAAGCAGCACCACUAUUAACUGGGAUGGCUAGGGGCACUCCUUUUGUACUGCUAGCACUAAAAUUCUUGUCCGGGUGCAAGGUGAAGUAAAGCGAAAGCAUUUGCCAAGAGUGUUUUCAUUAAUCAGGAAUGAAAGUUGGAGGUUCAAAGUCAACACACUACCUAGUGGUAUUAUGUCCAUCACACACCAGGCAGCUCGAGGAAACCCACGCCUCUGAGUU
rnacentral:ncRNA from 1 species